UUUUUCUCUCUUCUUUCUUCUAUUUUAUUUUUCUUUUUUAAUUGGUGGGUUUGCGGCACUGAUUUGUAUAAUCUUUUUAUACUUUUUUAUUUUUUUUUUUGUUUCUCUGUAGUAACUUAUCAUCUGUCUUGUCCAGGAAAUAUAAGGAAGUUCAGAUUUGAUGAACUUGUGGCAGUGAUAGUAAAGAAGGUUUACAAUAAUCUUAUAAUUUUUUAUUUAUUAAAAGAAUAAUAACCACACAAAUCUACAUAAAU
rnacentral:lncRNA from 1 species